CUCAGAGCGCCUCAGUCACAGAGCAGGGGGGAGAAACUGACUUCAUUACUGAGGGAAUAACUGGUUCUGCAUGAGGAAACACUCAAUAACGACUCUGACAGAGAGGACAGUCAUGGGAAUCCAGAAGCCAGAGUUUCACCCAUAAACAACAAAAGACGGACUCCCCCCUCAGACACGCCUCC